UACGUAGGGGGCUAGCGUUGUCCGGAAUCAUUGGGCGUAAAGAGCGCGUAGGCGGCCCGGUAAGUCCGCUGUAAAAGUCCAGGGCUCAACCCUGGAAAGCCGGUGGAUACUGUCGGGCUCGAGUCCGGAAGAGGCGAGUGGAAUUCCUGGUGUAGCGGUGGAAUGCGCAGAUAUCAGGAGGAACACCGGUGGCGAAGGCGGGUCUCUGGGCCAUUACUGACGCUGAGGAGCGAAAGCGUGGGGAGCGAACAGG
rnacentral:rRNA from 1 species